GGCAAACAAAGCGGAUUCCAGACCAAAUAACGACCUUAAAAUGGCACAUAAAGGCCACCAAGUGACGGGGAUACCAGGGUGCAUACACAGACACCACCCAAGCGACAAAGCAAAAAAGGCGCACCCAAAAUCACGUUGAGGACUACCAGCAUGGUAGGUGCGUGGAAGACGGCCGCUUCCCUGCAGCCAGGUACACGUCUCUGGGC